rnacentral:rRNA from 1 species
AGAGUUUGAUCCUGGCUCAGGAUGAUUUCUAGCUACAGGCUUAACACAUGCAAGUCGAGGGGCAGCAUGGUCGUUGCUUGCAAUGACCGAUGGCGACCGGCGCACGGGUGAGUAACGCGUAUCCAACCUUCCCCCUACCCGGGUAUAGCCCGCCGAAAGGCGGAUUAAUCCCCGAUACGUCCUCCGACGGCAUCAGAUGAGGACGAAAGGUUUUCCGGUAAGGGAUGGGGAUGCGUCCGAUUAGCUUGUUGGCGGGGUAACGGCCCACCAAGGCGACGAUCGGUAGGGGUUCUGAGAGGAAGGUCCCCCACAUUGGAACUGAGACACGGUCCAAACUCCUACGGGAGGCAGCAGUGAGGAAUAUUGGUCAAUGGGCGGAAGCCUGAACCAGCCAAGUAGCGUGCAGGAUGACGGCCCUACGGGUUGUAAACUGCUUUUUUGCGGGAAUAAAGCGGCUCACGCGUGGGCCUUUGCAUGUACCGCACGAAUAAGGACCGGCUAAUUCCGUGCCAGCAGCCGCGGUAAUACGGAAGGUCCGGGCGUUAUCCGGAUUUAUUGGGUUUAAAGGGAGCGUAGGCCGCCUUUUAAGCGUGCUGUGAAAUACCGUUGCCCAACAACGGGGCUGCAGCGCGAACUGGAGGGCUUGAGUUCACGGGAAGCCGGCGGAAUUCGUCGUGUAGCGGUGAAAUGCUUAGAUACGACGAAGAACUCCGAUUGCGAAGGCAGCCGGCUGUAGUGUUACUGACGCUGAAGCUCGAAAGUGCGGGUAUCGAACAGGAUUAGAUACCCUGGUAGUCCGCACAGUAAACGAUGAAUGCUAGCUGUCCGGGUCGAAUGAGACCUGGGUGGCACAGCGAAAGCGUUAAGCAUUCCACCUGGGGAGUACGCCGGCAACGGUGAAACUCAAAGGAAUUGACGGGGGCCCGCACAAGCGGAGGAACAUGUGGUUUAAUUCGAUGAUACGCGAGGAACCUUACCCGGGCUCAAACGCCACCGGGAUUAUCUCUGAAAGGAGAUAAGCCAGCAAUGGCCGGUGGCGAGGUGCUGCAUGGUUGUCGUCAGCUCGUGCCGUGAGGUGUCGGCUUAAGUGCCAUAACGAGCGCAACCCCUAUCCUAUGUUACCAGCGGGUAAUGCCGGGGACUCAUAGGAGACUGCCAAGGACAACUUGGAGGAAGGCGGGGAUGACGUCAAGUCAUCAUGCCCCUUAUGUCUUGGGCUACACACGUACUACAAUGGUCGGCAACAGAGGGAAGCGAAGCCGUGAGGCAGAGCAAACCCCAGAAACCCGAUCUCAGUUCGGAUUGCAGGCUGCAACUCGCCUGCAUGAAGUCGGAAUCGCUAGUAAUCGCAGGUCAGCAUACUGCGGUGAAUACGUUCCCGGGCCUUGCACACAAAGCCCGUCAAG